rnacentral:tRNA from 1 species
ACCUUCAUGGUGUAAUGGUCAGCACGCACGACAUGUAUUCGAAAGGUCCGUGGUUCGAGUCCCGGCGAAGGCG